rnacentral:rRNA from 1 species
UACGUAGGUGGCAAGCGUUGUCCGGAUUUACUGGGCGUAAAGAGCGCGCAGGCGGUCGUGCAAGUCGCGUGUGAAAGCCCCCGGCUCAACUGGGGAGGGUCACGCGAUACUGCUCGACUCGAAGGCAGGAGAGGGAAGUGGAAUUCCCGGUGUAGUGGUGAAAUGCGUAGAUAUCGGGAGGAAUACCGGUGGCGAAGGCGGCAUCCUGGACCGGCAUUGACGCUGAGUGAGCGAAAGCCAGGGGAGCAAACGGG